CCUCCCAGACCCCGGCAUGGUUCGAGUCGGGGUCCUGAAGUGGAGCUGACCGGGGGUUGAGAAGAGCCUGGCCGAGUCGGGGCCAAGCACGAAGGGCUUCCCCGCCCGUCGGGCUCCGGGAUUCCCGCCUGCCGAUUUCCAGCCGUCAGGGUCACGCCACCCGCUGGAAGCCCUGAACUCCGUGUCCCCCAAGCCUCGGGCCCCCUGCGGGAAUGUUCAAAAAUGAGUACCAGGGAGGUGCAUUUGUUGAAGUCUUCAGUGCUCAGGGAAAAAAUCCUGGAGCAAAAUGGAAGAUCCUUGGCAGUCCAUCUGUGAUUUGGAAAUUGGACUGAUCCAGAGGUUUCUUGUACUUCAGAUUUACAUACCCGUGGGACAAGACUUCUCCACCGAAUUGCUAAUUACUGAUUUAAGGAACAUAAAAAGAAGAUUGUAUUUAUCAACAGUCCAUAAGGAACUGUCCUCAACCCCUCUUCAUGCAAAAAUCCCACUCUUCAUGAUCAAGCGCAAAAUUUGGUGCAAUCUGUGCAUUGACUUGGUGGCAUUUACCAGUGAAAUAUUCAAAGGAGCAGUUUUCCAGUCACUGGAUGGAAUUACUGUCUCAGCUAACUGUAAGCUACGAAAGAUCUUCACUUUGAAAUCGAAGCCUCAAGACACUGCUGAUAAAGAUGCUGGAUAUGGUGUUUCCUUUCCAACAGAUGAACCUUCAGACAUUAUUCCACGAAGCUGCCAACUAACAACAGAUGUUCCACAAGUCACACAGCUGCUAAACAUUACUAAACUCUGCCAAACUGAAAUGAAAUUUGGAGGUCAUCCUCUACGUUCAGCAGAAUCAGAUCAAUUCAUUAACAGAGGAACAGGUAGUGUGCGGAACAGUAAAAAUCAAGAUGUUUGUCACAUCGCCUUUGGAUCCAAAGUUCUGGGACCACCUCCACUCUCUGGCAGAAGAAAUAACAUGAAGAUAUCCAGUGAGACAGUAAGAUCCUUUGGGUCCAAAAAUAGCCGAUCAUGCCAGCAGCCUACAGUGGAGAAGUGUGUUAACAGUGCAGAAAUGUCAACCUUGCUGAUAUCUGAGUCUGAGGAGCAAGGAGAUAAGGAAAAUAUUCGCCAAAUAAAGCAGACUAUACCUAUUCAUGCCAAUCUGCAUAUUAUGCAUCCACAUCCCCCUCAAGAACCAUCAGCAGAUAAGAAUAAUAACAGGAGAAGAUUACGGUUAAAAAGCACCAGCAGAGAAAGGACAGAGACACCCAGCGGCAAUUCUUCAGGAAAUAGCAGGAAUGAAGAUAAAGCAACAACUAUCCUUACCACCAUGUCCCAACAAAAAGCAGAGUCAUUGAACCCUAGCUCUCCAGUGCUCCAGUCUCCUGAUCAAGCAGAUGAGUGGAUAUUUCCUGAAAAGGAUGAUCACAUUCCCCAUUUAGUAUCGAGCACACAGUCUCUAUGUCUGGAUGAAGACUUCUGCCACACCUCACACCUAUGGCUAGAAGUCAGCAAGGACAGUGAACGUGACCGAGAGGCAGAGGAAACCCAGAUUGUUCCAAAGGAUAUUUUCACUUUUUCAUCAAGACCACGAUCGGCACCUCAUGGAAAGACUCAGAAUCUGUCCCCAGAGGAGUGCCCAUUUCUUUUGGAUCUAAAAGAAGAUACCAGUGUGACAAGGAGAGAUACCCAAUUGGAGGAGGAUUUUUAUGGCAGUGACAGCAGCGAAGAGGGUAACCAGAGUGUCCAGGGUUCUCCAAGCCCAACAACUAGUCCUCCAGGGUUAACUCAGUUCACAUUAGACAGCGUGCUGGAAAAGGCUGCAAGGUGGACAAGUAAAGGAUAUCUUAAAAGUGCCUACGCAGAAGCAGGAGCAUCAGAAAGCCAGAAUUCCUUGGGAAAGCAGAUAGAUAAAAAAGACUUUGAAGCGAGUUUGGUGCCUACAGCAUGCCUUUCACCCCCUGGAAGAAGGAGUGAAUCCUUUCUGAAAACUCCAGACCCCGUUGCCAAAGCAAAGCACCUACCAGCCCAUCAAGAGUCAGCUUCAGUAAACAAAACCACCCUAAAGGAAAUUUCAGGGGAGAAGUGGAAGGCGAUUCCUGAAGUAUCUGAAUAUGAUUGGAGAAACUAUCAGCCCAGCCAGAUGAGUGAAUCUGAGUUGCAAAUGCUGGCAAGCCUACGGCGGCAACAGAAUGAAGAGCUGGAGGACGCUGGGGCUUCCCAUGGCCUGAGCGCAUCCCAGGUCGACAACUGUAAUGUCAGCAUAAGCACCAGCAGUGAUGACACAACCACCUGGAACUCUUGCCUGCCACCUCCUGUCAACCAGGGUCGUCACUAUCAGAAAGAAAUGAAUCCACCUUCUCCUUCUAACCCCCGAGACUGGUUGAAUAUGCUGAGCCCACCGAUUGUUCCUCCCAGUCAACAACCAGCAGAGCAGUGUGAGGAUUCUUCUGGAAGCUUGAGUGCUCAAGAAUGGUGGGUUCUUUCCAACUACAAGGAAUUUAAGAGAGAAAUUGUCCUUGUUCUCCUGAAGGUUAAUCCCAGGGCGAAAUAUAAUUUGAGAUGUAAGAGCCUGGCUUUGGUGUCAAACUGACCUGCAUCUGAAUUCCAACUCUGGCAAUUCCUGCUGUGUGACUUUUAUGAAUUUUGGUUUUGUAAAAUAAGACUAAUAAUAGAUAGUGGCCACCUGCCAGUUUCUUCAUGAAGAUUCAAUGAGGUAUACUGAACAUGAGAUACUUGGAACAGCGUCUACCAAAUACCAGCUGUUAGUAUUGUUAUAAAGCAGACCCAAUACUCCAGCAUCACCAAGAUCCAUGUUUUCGUUAAUACAGAGAUACAACUUUUUCAUUAAAGCAGAGGCUGACAUGGAGCUACAAUAGGUGAAGAAGACCUGAGUGUGGAAGAGGACGAGGAAGUGCUGACUCUGCUGUAUGACCCAUGUCUGAACUGUUACUUUGACCCCCAGACUGGGAAAUACUAUGAGUUGGUGUAAUCCCUCCUUCCAGGGCAAAGAUUGGCCACCGCAGGUAGAGCAGGAUAGCAGUUCUGCGUCUGUUAAGCUGGCACCAUAGUGUAUGUGUUGGGCAGACCCACUGAAUCAAAAGUAACUGAGAGAAAUGGAGUUAGUUUGUACGUAACGUUCAGUGACUACCUACAUUCCUUUUGUAGAUGCAUGUGAUUUUUUGGAACUGUGAAGGAAUUAAUACUGAGACAAGAUUUUAGGACUUUGAAUAGGUUCUUGUUUGUUAGUGCUCACCCUACAUAUAAUUUUGUUUAUUUCAUAUAAUUUUAUGUAAAUGAAUUGAGUUAUUAAUUCAAAAUUUUUUCAGUGUUAAUCUGUAAAUAAUGGCUUGAUAAACAGAAAAUGUAUUCUUGUUUAAAAGGUAUCUGGAUACCUUUUAUUUUAUUAUCUAUUUGUAUUAAAAAUAAAGUAUGAGGGCCAGAAGAAUACCUUUUAAA